rnacentral:rRNA from 1 species
UACGUAGGUGGCAAGCGUUGUCCGGAAUCACUGGGCGUAAAGCGCGCGCAGGCGGCGAUCUACGUCUGGGGUGAAAGCCCGGAGCUCAACUCCGGGACUGCCUUGGAUACGGGAUCGCUUGAGGAUUGGAGAGGCAAGGGGAAUUCCACGUGUAGCGGUGAAAUGCUUAGAUAUGACAUAGAACACCAAUUGCGAAGGCAGCUUACUACGGAUUGAUUGACACUGAGGCACGAAAGCGUGGGGAUCAAACAGG